GCCCCCCUCUUUCUUCGUGCUUAACACAUGCAAGUCGAACGGAAAGGCCCUGCUUUUGUGGGGUGCUCGAGUGGCGAACGGGUGAGUAACACGUGAGUAACCUGCCCUUGACUUUGGGAUAACUUCAGGAAACUGGGGCUAAUACCGGAUAGGAGCUCCUGCUGCAUGGUGGGGGUUGGAAAGUUUCGGCGGUUGGGGAUGGACUCGCGGCUUAUCAGCUUGUUGGUGGGGUAGUGGCUUACCAAGGCUUUGACGGGUAGCCGGCCUGAGAGGGUGAACGGCCACAUUGGGACUGAGAUACGGCCCAGACUCCUACGGGAGGCAGCAGUGGGGAAUAUUGCACAAUGGGCGGAAGCCUGAUGCAGCAACGCCGCGUGCGGGAUGACGGCCUUCGGGUUGUAAACCGCUUUCGCCUGUGACGAAGCGUGAGUGACGGUAAUGGGUAAAGAAGCACCGGCUAACUACGUG
rnacentral:rRNA from 1 species